GGGAAUUUUGGUCUAGCCUGUAGCAGGUCCCGAAUAAAUGUGAAUUAAUCUAUGAACAAAUCUGUUUUUUGAGGUUCUCUAUUCUUUUUUCAUUAAGUCUUUUAAAUUUUAACUGCAGUAUAGUUAACAUAGAGUGUUAUAUUUGUUUCAGGUGCACAAGAUAGUGACUCAACGCUUUUGUACAUUACUUAGCGCUCAUUGCGAUCAGUGUAUGAACAAAUGUAUUUUAUGAACACUUGACUUCACCCUGGGCGCAACCUUGUUUAAUAACAAAGGGAUCCUGUUUGGAAGGACAGGGACAAUGACAAUUGAGAAGCAAAGAGAAAACUGGAGAGGAGUGGAGGAAUGCUUGGAACACCAAAAGACUCAUUCACCUUGAAUAAGAGGACACAUUGCUGUAAUGAGUUCACGUGAUCAGUUACGGCCCAGGACUUAGAGUUUAUUCUUGGAACACAUACGCUUGGGAAUUCUUCAUAAUGGCAUGAAUCUCUUAUUAACUAUUAUGAGACCUUACCUUCCCAAAUCCUCUUACAUGCUGAUGGGAAAAGAGAGCCCAUUGUCAGCAGUGUCUGCUUAGGAAUAUCUUUUGUCUUGUAGCUUGUUGUAAUCACUUCCAGACCAGUGGUAUAUUUGUGAUUUACAUAAUGUUACAAAGGAAGAAGUCUCAAGGAUUUUUUUUCUCUAAAUCUUUGUGAAUUAUUAUUUUAGACUCACUGCCAGAUUUUUUUUAAAGGGAGAAGUUGAUGAACUUUUAAACAUGUCAUUACAUGCUCCGAAAUAGCAACUCUUUGUUCUUGCAAAGAUUUUCGUGGGAAUUUCAAGGGCCGUGUGUGUGUGUGUGUGUGUGUGUGUGUGUGUGUGUGUGUGUGUUUAGAAACAGGUAGAAAAGGAAAUGGGUAAAAAGGAACACUUGAGGUUCACUGAUAAAGUUAAAUACAUAUUUUGUGUUUCUGUAGAACAAAAGUUGGCAGAUUUGGGGGAUCUCACCUAACAUUUGGUGUGGGUUUAGGAAGUGUGGCUCUACAUUCAUUUCCAAUCAUGUUAAUAAUUAGGGGUAGCAACUGAAGGGUUAAGCCCUAAAGCAAGGAAAUAUCUCUAAGUCAGAAAACAAAGGGAAACUUGCAUAUUUCUGAAGAUGACAUCGGAUCGGCCUGUGAAUUUCAAGCAAUUAUGCGAUAUUAUGAUUCCCACUGAGUAUGCAUUAGUUGGAAUACUGUUCUUUUUAUUUCUCCAUGUCCCGGGGUUGUACACAGAAAGAGCCCUGUUCAACUUUGUAUGUCAGAAUUUUGAAGGAAAAAUUAUAGUAAAAUAUGUUUAAAACAGUGGGGCCUUAUGUGAGUGAACACAACAUUUUCCAAGGCUUUCAAAAAUCCUUUUGUUAAAAAUAUGGUUUUUAUUUUGUUCCUUUUUUUCCUUCUUUCUUUAAAUUUUCUUUUCCCCCUUUACUCAAGCUUUUACCUCCCCUCCUUCCUAGAGGGAAGAAGAAAAAAGUUUCAAAGGAUAUACAUAACACAGCCUACAUCUAGGGCCUAGGGACUUACAAUGGGUUUGUUUUAAAUGAGACACCCCACAUGGAAAAUAAACAAGUGAGAAAAGUUCAUCUGUGUAUAUAACUUCAGUUCCAACAAUGAUGGUGACAGUCACAGUGUCUGAGUAAGUGUCCCCUAGAGUCAUCUUGUGAGCAAAAUGAUUAUUAAUUGAGGUUUCUGUGAGUCGAAAGAUGGUUGUUCACAAAGGGUAGGAAUUUUGCUAGCACGGGAAGAACUGAAGACAGAGCCCCUGGGUUGUUCUAAAAGAUAAAAUGUCUUUUUUAAAUUGAAUUAAUUAAAAACAAAACAAAACAAAAAGCAGGCAUGGUGAAAUGCCAAGAUUAGGAACGAUGAUUAAUGAAUGUCAAAUUCGUUUCAUCCCGUGAUAGCCUUCCUCCCAAAGAAGAGAAGUAAUUGGUUUGAUGAGUUAGGAAAUGCAUUUAGCUGUCAAUGACAGACACUUAACAUCAAUGGGUUACUUUUAACAUAAAAGAAAUCCUACCUCUGACUAUCAGGGCUCCUAUCGUGGCUUCUCAAAGUCAUGGGGACCCAAGCUCUUUCUAGAUCUCUGUUCUUCCACCCUUAGGCCAUGACGUCCCUCUAGUCAUUAAAUGUUCUCUCCAAGUGUGGAAGAGGAAAGGGAGGGCAAAAGGGACCCCCUCCCAGCUUCGUUAAACUCCUUUUAAGGUGCUUCCCCCUGAAGUGCCUCAAAAUAGUUUCACUUAAAAUUCAUUAGCGAUGCCCGAUGAUCUUUGUCACAUGGCCACACCCAGCUGCAAGGGAGCCUGGAAGAUGUGGUCUCUUAGGAGGAAAAAAAAUCACUGCCCCAAAUGAAAUCAGCGUUCUAUGACUAGUAAUAAGGGAAGGGCAGGGAAAUUGGGUGGGAAAUUGAAGUCUCCGCCAUACUUAUAUACAACGUCUGUAACGCCAAUACAUUGUCCGACGCUUGUGGAUUGCUUCUGUUUGAAUCAUGCAGUAUUCAAGACGCUAGUUAAAGGACACGGUUUUGCACUGCAUUGUCUCAAAGCAUAUGGCCAAAAUAAAUACUUUUGCACAU